rnacentral:rRNA from 1 species
UCCAGACUCCUACGGGAGGCAGCAGUGAGGAAUAUUGGUCAAUGGGCGGGAGCCUGAACCAGCCAAGUCGCGUGAGGGAAGACGGUCCUAUGGAUUGUAAACCUCUUUUGUCGGGGAGCAAAAGACGCCACGUGUGGCGUUCCGAGAGUACCCGAAGAAAAAGCAUCGGCUAACUCCGUGCCAGCAGCCGCGGUAAUACGGAGGAUGCGAGCGUUAUCCGGAUUUAUUGGGUUUAAAGGGCGCGUAGGCGGAAUGCCAAGUCAGCGGUAAAAUCGGGGGGCUCAACCUCGCUCCGCCGUUGAAACUGGCGUUCUUGAGUGGGCGAGAAGUAUGCGGAAUGCGUGGUGUAGCGGUGAAAUGCAUAGAUAUCACGCAGAACUCCGAUUGCGAAGGCAGCAUACCGGCGCCCAACUGACGCUGAAGCACGAAAGCGUGGGUAUCGAACAGGAUUAGAUACCCCGGUA